GUCCUUGUAGCUUACAACCAAAGCAUAGCACUGAAGAUGCUAAGACGUUGCCCUCGCAUCCAAGGACA
rnacentral:tRNA from 2 species